AACGAACGCUGGCGGCAUGCCUAACACAUGCAAGUCGAACGAAGGCUUCGGCCUUAGUGGCGCACGGGUGCGUAACGCGUGGGAAUCUGCCCUUUGGUUCGGCAUAACAGCUGGACACGGCUGCUAAUACCGGACGAUGACGAAAGUCCAAAGAUUUAUCGCCCUAGUUGGAGCCCGCGUUGCAUAAGGUGGUUCGUGGGGUAAGGGGCUACCAGGCCGAGGAUCCAUAGCUUGUCUGAGAGGCUGAUCAGCCACACUGCGACGGAGAAACGGCCGGGACUCCUACGCGAGGCAGCAGUGGGGGAUAUUGGACCGUGGGCGCAGGCCUGAUGCUGCAAUGCCGCGUGAGUGAUGAAAGCCGUAGAGUUGUAAAGCUCAUUUACCCGGGAAGAUAAUGACUGUACCGGGAGAGUAAGCCCCGGCUAACUCCGUG
rnacentral:rRNA from 1 species